UACGGAGGAUGCAAGCGUUAUCCGGAAUGAUUGGGCGUAAAGCGUCCGCAGGUGGCAGUUCAAGUCUGCUGUCAAAGACCGGGGCUUAACUUCGGAAAGGCAGUGGAAACUGAACAGCUAGAGUAUGGUAGGGGCAGAGGGAAUUCCUGGUGUAGCGGUGAAAUGCGUAGAGAUCAGGAAGAACAUCGGUGGCGAAGGCGCUCUGCUGGACCAUAACUGACACUCAGGGACGAAAGCUAGGGGAGCGAAUGGGAU
rnacentral:rRNA from 1 species